GGAGCCUUCGCUGGUUUAGAGAGGCCAGGGAAAGCUCCCUACUUAAGGUGAUGCUUUUGCAGAGCCCAGUAGUUACUGGCCAGGCAUGUGGUCUUGAAGGCAUUCCAGUGUCAUGAAGAAGCAAGAUGCAGCAAGAGUCAAAAGAAGAAACUGAGAUUGAGUAACUAUGAAGGCAUGGCCACAGCAAGUGAUAGAAAAAUCAGGAGAGAGUGCUAUCGCAGAAGCCAAUGAGAAAGAGUGUUUCAAGAGGGAAUGAUGUCCACCUGCAUCAAAUACUGCUCAGAAAUCAGUUGCUGUUGAAUAUGGGUAAUCUACAUCCUGUUGCCUGAAGCUUGAAGUUCUCAUCUGCCCCCUCUCAGUAUGUACUUGUGAAAGAUGCAGACCUCAUCUGAGUUGAAGUAACCUAGGAGACCAAAAUAAAUGAUUCCUGCAGAAAGCUUGAGUGACAUUUUCAGAGCUGCAAUCCCUGCUUCUUCUUAAAAUGGCUAUAUACAUUGUAGGUUGGGAGGGUCAGAAGGCUGAUCACGGAAAUAUCUCGGAGGUAGAGUGGUGUGUGGGAGUAGGCAAUGAGAGAGGUAAGAGGACAAAAUGUAGAGAAGGAAGCAGAAUGGGCUAUCACCUUCUUUUGUUUCUUCCCACUGUAUGUGCCCCCAAGGAAGCCCCUCAGCUGCUCCCUUCCUUGCCCCCAUGACCCACAGACGGUGGUUGAACCACAGCUCUCUCUUUCUGAUAACACCCUUUGGUGUGAAACAAGUAAGACUCCAGAUUCCUGUUUGCUCUAAAAAUCCUGAAUGGCCUUCUGUAAUCAUUACAUUUUAUUACUCUCAUUUGAUUGUUUUGUUUUUUUUUUCCCCGUUAGAUAUUUUCUAACUGCUCUUCUGCAGACAGGACACUCGCAAAUGAACACAGCAAGCACACAGGCAUCUGUGUCUCUAUUCAGAAGUAUCACAAGUGAAAGGAUGAUGCCCAUUGCCUGGGGCCCUUUUUAUUCCACUUAGCCUGACUACUGAACUGGCAAGUGCAGGUAACGGCUUUCUCGCAGAGUCUCUGAGCACCGUGACUGUGUAAUGACAGCUGUGGUUGGAGGGCCCAAAG
rnacentral:lncRNA from 1 species